GCUCAACCGGGGAGGGUCAUUGGAAACUGGGGAACUUGAGUGCAGAAGAGGAGAGUGGAAUUCCACGUGUAGCGGUGAAAUGCGUAGAGAUGUGGAGGAACACCAGUGGCGAAGGCGACUCUCUGGUCUGUAACUGACGCUGAGGCGCGAAAGCGUGGGGAGCGAACAGGAUUAGAUACCCUGGUAGUCCACGCCGUAAACGAUGAGUGCUAAGUGUUAGAGGGUUUCCGCCCUUUAGUGCUGCAGCAAACGCAUUAAGCACUCCGCCUGGGGAGUACGGUCGCAAGACUGAAACUCAAAGGAAUUGACGGGGGCCCGCACAAGCGGUGGAGCAUGUGGUUUAAUUCGAAGCAACGCGAAGGACCUUACCAGGUCUUGACAUCCUCUGACAACCCUAGAGAUAGGGCUUCCCCUUCGGGGGCAGAGUGACAGGUGGUGCAUGGUUGUCGUCAGCUCGUGUCGUGAGAUGUUGGGUUAAGUCCCGCAACGAGCGCAACCCUUGAUCUUAGUUGCCAGCAUUCAGUUGGGCACUCUAAGGUGACUGCCGGUGACAAACCGGAGGAAGGUGGGGAUGACGUCAAAUCAUCAUGCCCCUUAUGACCUGGGCUACACACGUGCUACAAUGGGCAGAACAAAG
rnacentral:rRNA from 1 species